UGAUCCUGGCUCAGGACGAACGCUGGCGGCGUGCUUAACACAUGCAAGUCGAACGCUGAAGCCUAGCUUGCUGGGUGGAUGAGUGGCGAACGGGUGAGUAACACGUGAGUAACCUGCCCUCUUCUUUGGGAUAACGCCCGGAAACGGGUGCUAAUACUGGAUAUUCACUGGCCUUCGCAUGGGGGUUGGUGGAAAGGUUUUUUCUGGUGGGGGAUGGGCUCGCGGCCUAUCAGCUUGUUGGUGGGGUGAUGGCCUACCAAGGCUUUGACGGGUAGCCGGCCUGAGAGGGUGACCGGUCACAUUGGGACUGAGAUACGGCCCAGACUCCUACGGGAGGCAGCAGUGGGGAAUAUUGCACAAUGGGCGAAAGCCUGAUGCAGCGACGCCGCGUGAGGGAUGGAGGCCUUCGGGUUGUAAACCUCUUUCGCUCAUGGUCAAGCCGCAACGUUUGGUUGUGGUGAGGGUAGUGGGUAAAGAAGCGCCGGCUAACUACGUGCCAGCAGCCGCGGUAAUA
rnacentral:rRNA from 1 species